rnacentral:rRNA from 1 species
GACGAACGCUGGCGGCGUGCUUAACACAUGCAAGUCGAACGGUAAGGCCCUUCGGGGUACACGAGUGGCGAACGGGUGAGUAACACGUGGGUGAUCUGCCCUGCACUUCGGGAUAAGCCUGGGAAACUGGGGCUAAUACCGGAUAGGACCCUGGGAUGCAUGUCCUGGGGUGGAAAGCUUUUGCGGUGUGGGGUGGGCCCGCGGCCUAUCAGCUUGUUUGUGGGGUGAUGGCCUACCAAGGGGACGACGGGUAGCCGGCCUGGGAGGGUGACCGGCCACACUGGGACUGAGAUACGGCCCAGACUCCUACGGGAGGCAGCAGUGGGGAAUAUUGCACAAUGGGCGCAAGCCUGAUGCAGCGACGCCGCGUGAGGGAUGACGGCCUUCGGGUUGUAAACCUCUUUCAGCACCGACGAAGCGCAAGUGACGGUAGGUGCAGAAGAAGGACCGGCCAACUACGUGCCAGCCGCCGCCGUAA